AGUGAACGCUGGCGGUAGGCCUAACACAUGCAAGUCGAACGGAAGCACAGUAAGAGCUUGCUCUUACGGGUGGCGAGUGGCGGACGGGUGAGGAAUACAUCAGAAUCUACUUUUUCGUGGGGGAUAACGUAGGGAAACUUACGCUAAUACCGCAUACGACCUACGGGUGAAAGCAGUGGUUCUUCGGACCUUGCGCGAUUGAAUGAGCCGAUGUCGGAUUAGCUAGUUGGCGGGGUAAAGGCUCACCAAGGCGACGAUCCGUAGCUGGUCUGAGAGGAUGAUCAGCCACACUGGAACUGAGACACGGUCCAGACUCCUACGGGAGGCAGCAGUGGGGAAUAUUGGACAAUGGGCGCAAGCCUGAUCCAGCCAUACCGCGUGGGUGAAGAAGGCCUUCGGGUUGUAAAGCCCUGUUGUUGGGAAAGAAAAGCAGCAGGUGAAUACCCCGCUGUUCUGACGGUACCCAAAGAAUAAGCACCGGCUAACUUCGUG
rnacentral:rRNA from 1 species